CAGCCGCCACGGGAAUACGUAGGUGGCAAGCGUUGUCCGGAAUUAUUGGGCGUAUAGGGCUCGCAGGCGGUUUCUUAAGUCUGAUGUGAAAGCCCCCGGCUCAACCGGGGAGGGUCAUUGGAAACUGGGAAACUUGAGUGCAGAAGAGGAGAGUGGAAUUCCACGUGUAGCGGUGAAAUGCGUAGAGAUGUGGAGGAACACCAGUGGCGAAGGCGACUCUCUGGUCUGUAACUGACGCUGAGGAGCGAAAGCGUGGGGAGCGAACAGGAUUAGAUACCCCCGUAGUCCCUGUCUCUUAUAC
rnacentral:rRNA from 1 species